AACGAACGCUGGCGGCAUGCCUAACACAUGCAAGUCGAACGAGACCUUCGGGUCUAGUGGCGCACGGGUGCGUAACGCGUGGGAACCUGCCCUUAGGUUCGGAAUAACUCCCCGAAAGGGGUGCUAAUACCGGAUAAUGUCUUCGGACCAAAGAUUUAUCGCCUUUGGAUGGGCCCGCGUUGGAUUAGCUAGUUGGUAGGGUAAAAGCCUACCAAGGCGACGAUCCAUAGCUGGUCUGAGAGGAUGAUCAGCCACACUGUGCCUGAGACACGGCCCGGACUCCUACGGGAGGCAGCAGUGGGCAAUAUUGGACAAUGGGCGAGAGCCUGAUCCAGCAAUGCCGCGUGAGUGAUGAAGGCCUUAGGGUUGUAAAGCUCUUUUACCCGGGAUGAUAAUUACAGUACCGGGAGAAUAAGCUCCGGCUAACUCCGUG
rnacentral:rRNA from 1 species